rnacentral:lncRNA from 1 species
CACCCCCAAGUUGUAUUACUUUUCCCUUCUGGACAAAAUAUCAAGAUUUAUCGUGGGGAAAAACUAUCCAUACUUUGUAAAUUAUGUAAAUAAAUAACUCCAUAAAAUGUUGGUGAUUGCCUCAUUUUGGGGUUUCAUUUUCAUUUUGUCCUAAGCAGUGAGUGUGUUAAUUUAAGCUUUGUCUAUUUUUCUUCUAGGUAAACAUCAACUGACAACUCAGGGAAAGAAUUGCGACCAUCAAGUUUCACAUCUCCUGAAAAGUAGUCCAAGUUCAAGACAGAAAUGUAGAUACAGCCCCUGUAGUUCUAAGAAAGGAGCUGGUCUAGAGAGGGACGCUAGCUCCUCAGACAAUAGGAGCAGUCACAUGAUGGAAUCGCCAGAGAUGAGUAACAACAACAGAGGUGGUCACCAUGGCGAUAGCCCCGCCCUGCGGCGCUUGGGUGAACCCAGCAGCUCGGACUGGAACAGCUCCGACAACCUGACUGGGAAUCUCUCAGAACCAGAGGACAGUGCCUACCGCUCCAGCAACAGCAAGCCCCUUCUGUCCGAGUUGCCCUGUCCCCCCCACCACCUGGCCUUCCACCAACCCCCCCAUAUCGAACUGGAAGAGCCCUCAUCUCAACAUCAGCCCAUCACGCCACCACUGCCUCACCCCAAAGCCGCCCAGCGAGCUUCCCCUCACCAGGGGGAUGUUGGCCGCCACUGCUUCCAUCCCAGGCUACUCCAGGAGCCCUCCCAGACCAGCCCCCGGCCCAGCGUCCAGCCCACCUCGGCCUCACAUACACCCAGCCCCAACCGGAGGUCGGAAUCCAAUGGCCCUCUGCAGAGGCCCUCGUCGGGUGCCAGCUCCAAGUCGGGCUCGGACCCAGAGAGGAGUAACCCAUCAUCGGGCGAAAGUGAGGAGAGGCUGCCCAUCUGCAGGCCACCUGGAGCCGAGUCAGCGGCAGCCCAAGGGGUUUCCCUCACCACGUACUUCAGCGUGGACAAUUGCAUGACGGACACAUACAGACUUAAGUACCAUCACCAGCGACCCCUCCUACUCUCGGCUAUUGUGCCGCGAGCACCGACGGAGCCCCGAGAACAUCCCAGCCACCACCUGCACCCCGCAAACACACACUCCAUGCUAGACCCACCCAAAACCCGGCCUGAUGCAGGCCAUAACAGCAAUAAGCCCACUGCAAAAUGGAACCCAGUGACAGCCAAAGCACUGGAUGAGCGUGGCUAUUUGUGAUGGUAUUACCUG